rnacentral:ribozyme from 11 species
CUCGUUUUUCCUUUUUCUUCUGUGUUUCUUUUCACUCCUUUCCUUCUCCAUCUUUGUGUUUCUUCCUUUAACACGUGAUGGAAGGA